UACAGAGGUCUCAAGCGUUGUUCGGAUUCAUUGGGCGUAAAGGGUGCGUAGGUGGCGCGGUAAGUCGGGUGUGAAAUUUCGGAGCUUAACUCCGAAACUGCAUUCGAUACUGCCGUGCUUGAGGACUGGAGAGGAGACUGGAAUUUACGGUGUAGCGGUGAAAUGCGUAGAUAUCGUAAGGAAGACCAGUGGCGAAGGCGGGUCUCUGGACAGUUCCUGACGCUGAGGCACGAAGGUCAGGGGAGCGAACGGG
rnacentral:rRNA from 1 species